AUUGAACGCUGGCGGCAGGCUUAACACAUGCAAGUCGAGCGGGGUGAUGGUGCUUGCACUAUCACUUAGCGGCGGACGGGUGAGUAAUGCUUAGGAAUCUGCCUAUUAGUGGGGGACAACAUCGCGAAAGGGCUGCUAAUACCGCAUACGUCCUACGGGAGAAAGCAGGGGAUCUCUUGUGACAUUGCGCGAAUAGAUGCGACUAAGUCGGACUAGCUAGUUGGUGGGGUAAAGGCCUACCAAGGCGACGAUCUGUAGCGGGUCUGAGAGGAUGACCCGCCACACUGGGACUGAGACACGGCCCAGACUCCUACGGGAGGCAGCAGUGGGGAAAAUUGGACAAUGGGGGGAACCCUGAUCCAGCCAUGCCGCGUGUGUGAAGAAGGCCUUAUGGUUGUAAAGCACUUUAAGCGAGGAGGAGGCUCUUUUGGUUAAUACCCAAGAUGAGUGGACGUUACUCUCAGAAUAAGCACCGGCUAACUCUGUGCCAGCCGCCGCAGUAA
rnacentral:rRNA from 1 species